rnacentral:siRNA from 1 species
GGAGAAGCCGCGUCAGAUGA